rnacentral:rRNA from 1 species
UAUACGAAGGGGGCUACGUGCUCGGAAUUACUGGGCGUAAAGGGCGCGUAGCGGAUAUUUAAGUCAGGAGUGAAAGCCCGGGGCUCAACCUCGGAAUUGCCUUUGAUACUGGAUAUCUUGAGUUCGGGAGAGGUGAGUGGAAUGCCGAGUGUAGAGGUGAAAUUCGUAGAUAUUCGGCGGAACACCAGUGGCGAAGGCGACUCACUGGCCCGAUACUGACGCUGAGGCGCGAAAGCGUGGGGAGCAAACAGGAUUAGAUACCCUGGUAGUCCACGCCGGAAACGAUGAGUGCUAGUAGUCGGCAUGCAUGCAUGUCGGUG